CCUACGGGAGGCAGCAGUGGGGGAUAUUGCACAAUGGGGGAAACCCUGAUGCAGCGACGCCGCGUGUGGGAAGCCGGUCCCCUGAAUUGUACACCACUGUCCCCAGGGCCGAAGAUGACGGUACCUGGGGAGGAAGCUCCGGCUAACUACGUGCCAGCAGCCGCGGUAAUACGUAGGGAGCAAGCGUUGUCCGGAAUUACUGGGUGUAAAGGGAGCGUAGGCGGGAUGGCAAGUUGGGUGUUAAAUCUACCGGCUCAACUGGUAGUCGCACUCAAAACUGCUAUUCUUGAGUGAAGUAGAGGCAGGCGGAAUUCCUAGUGUAGCGGUGAAAUGCGUAGAUAUUAGGAGGAACACCAGUGGCGAAGGCGGCCUGCUGGGCUUUUACUGACGCUGAGGCUCGAAAGUGUGGGGAGCAAACAGGAUUAGAUACCCUUGUAGUC
rnacentral:rRNA from 1 species